rnacentral:rRNA from 1 species
CACUCCCGGAAGGGGAGGUAGUGACAAAAAAUAACGAUACGGGACUCGAUAUGAGGCCUCGUAAUCGGAAUGAGUACACUCUAAAUCCUUUAACAAAAAUCUAUUGGAGGGCAAGUCUGGUGCCAGCAGCCGCGGUAAUUCCAGCUCCAAUAGCGUAUAUUAAAGUUGUUGCGGUUAAAAAGCUCGUAGUUGGUUCUGCGUCCCGCGCUGUCGGUACACCGUUUGUCGGUGACACUGGCAUGACGCGGGAUGUCCUGUCGGUGGCGGCGGAGACCAUAUCGUCGUCGGAUAACACCGCGGCGUGUUGGCCUUCUGUCGCCGGCUAUAUCCUACCGCGGUGCUCUUCACUGAGUGUCGAGGUAGGCCGACACGUUUACUUUGAACAAAUUAGAGUGCUUAAAGCAGGCAAAAAUCUCUGCCAGAAUAGUGGUGCAUGGAAUAAUGGAACAGGACCUUGGUUCUAUUCUGUUGGUCUCCGGAACACAAGGUAAUGAUCAAUGUGGACAGGCGGGGGCAUUCGUAUUGCGGCGUUAGAGGUGAAAUUCUUGGAUCGUCGCAAGACGCACUAGAGCGAAAGCAAUUGCCAAGUAUGUCUUAAUUGAUCAAGAACGAAAGUUAGAGGUUCGAAGGCGAUCAGAUACCGCCCUAGUUCUAACCAUAAACGAUGCCAGCCAGCGAUCCGCCGAUGUUCCUUUGAUGACUCGGCGGGGAGCUUUCCCCGGGAAACCAAAGCUUUUGGGUUCCGGGGGAAGUAUGGUUGCAAAGCUGAAACUUAAAGGAAUUGACGGAAGGGCACCACCAGAAGUGGAGCCUGCGGCUUAAUUUGACUCAACACGGGAAACCUCACCAGGUCAGGACAUUGGAAUGAUUGACAGAUUGAUAGCUCUUUCUUGAUUCAGUGCC